rnacentral:rRNA from 1 species
UACGUAGGGCGCAAGCGUUAUCCGGAAUUAUUGGGCGUAAAGAGCUCGUAGGUGGUUUGUCGCGUCUGCCGUGAAAGUCCGGGGCUCAACUCCGGAUCUGCGGUGGGUACGGGCAGACUAGAGUGAUGUAGGGGAGACUGGAAUUCCUGGUGUAGCGGUGAAAUGCGCAGAUAUCAGGAGGAACACCGAUGGCGAAGGCAGGUCUCUGGGCAUUAACUGACGCUGAGGAGCGAAAGCAUGGGGAGCGAACAGG